CUGCCUGCUCUGUUGUUGCUCACUAGCCAAUCAACAUGUGUCCUUUCCUGUUUGAAGAUACAGACCACUCCCCCGGCUCCUCCCCCUGCCCCUCCCCUUGCCCCUCCCCCCCUUCAGGCAGACUCCACCAAGCAUGGGAGGAAAAAACAACUAAUUAUCCGAUUAACAACGCUUUACUCCCAUACAUUUGUGAAGCACUGAAACACAGGAUGGAUAAGACAGCCGAAGACCAAGUGCUUACUGUAAUCACUACUUGAUACUUCCAGCCCUGAACUUGAGCUUCAUUGACCUGUAUUUGUCCAGUCUGCUCCAUUGCAGAGUGUGACUGUCUUCCUGUGUGAGACGACAGUAUUGUUGUGUUCAGCUAGCAGCACCAGACGUGCAGUAUGAUAGUAUCAGAAGAUGCAGUAAUAUCAGUGUUACUUUUAGAACUAUUGUAGAAACUGAAUUAGCAGUAAUAUCGGUUACUUUCAGAAGUAUGGUAGUAGCUGAAUUAAUAGCUGUAGCAGUGUUAUUAGGGAUUUGUCAUUCAGCUUGUAGUUUGCUGAGUCCUGUGUCAGUCAGGCAGGACUGGGUCAGUCUCCAGGUGUGUGAGAGUAUUGACCACACCUGGACAGCUGGCCCUUGAUCACAAGUUAGAAACCCUUGUCAGUCACUCAGCAGAACCUCAGCUGA
rnacentral:lncRNA from 1 species